rnacentral:rRNA from 1 species
AGCAGCCGCGGUAAUUCCAGCUCCAAUAGCGUAUAUUAAAGUUGCUGCAGUUAAAAAGCUCGUAGUUGAAUUUCGGGACCAUCAUGUUGGUCGUGCCUCGGUACGUACUGGCAUUGUUGGUUUCUCCCUUCUGACGAACCAUGAUGUCAUUUAUUUGGUGUUGUGGGAAAUCAGGACUGUUACUUUGAAAAAUUAGAGUGUUUAAAGCAGGCUCACGCUUGAAUACAUUAGCAUGGAAUAAUGAAAUAGGACGUUUGAUUCUAUUUUGUUGGUUUCUAGGAUCGAUGUAAUGAUUAAUAGGGAUAGUUGGGGGCAUUAGUAUUCAAUUGUCAGAGGUGAAAUUCUUGGAUUUAUUGAAGACUAACUACUGCGAAAGCAUUUGCCAAGGAUGUUUUCAUUAAUCAAGAACGAAAGUUAGGGGAUCGAAGACGAUCAGAUACCGUCGUAGUC